UCUUUCCCUUUUGCGUCUGUUAUGAACACUCGAAUACUGUGUUUGUUUGUGAGGUUUAAAACUGACUAUAACUUAUACAUUUGAGAGUGAGUAAAUGACACUAAACUCUAUGAAAUCCUUAAACCUCCGCUUUGCAAUCAGAUUUCACUCACCCCCUUUUGCGAAAGAGCUCUGACGAUCGAAAUGGUGACCCCCUCUUCGAGUUCUUCUCCUUCUCAAACUGAUCGUGACUUCGUCCUCUUCAACCAAAUCUAGGAGUGAUGGGUGGUCUUAGAGUUAAAAGGAAAGACGACCUCCAACAGAUUGAAUUAGAAGGAAAAAUAACCUCCAUCUAAAGAAGCCACUAACUCCGACCCUGAAGACCUCGAAUACAUGGGCCAAAUCAAAAAGGUGGGGUUUGAGAUGGUUGACACUUUUGCUCAAUCGCAAAGCAUUGAAAUGAAGACAGUUCAUUGUAAAGCUAUUUUUGGACAGAUGUUUGAUGAAGACCGAAGAACAUAGGACUGGAUGCUGAAAUUAGUAAAUUGAGAUAUUGUUAGCAGAGUAAAAGAAAAUACUUUAAAGGGGAAUGUGAUAAAACAGAAGAUUUUGUUUGCUUUUCAGGUAAGCUUUUGUUUAAGCAUGCAGCUGAGAAGCUUGUAUUUUGACUUUUUUUUUUGUCUUGAGUUGCAUAAAGGUCAAUUGAUGAUUAAUU